rnacentral:lncRNA from 1 species
GAUUUACCAUUGUGUUUAGGGCUUCCAGCAGGGAUUUCUACAGUAUCUCAGACUGGUUCACUGCUUUCCUCACUGAACACAGGGGCUCAGGGAAUACUCUGGGAUUUUUUUUUUUUUUGAGAGCUCUUGUAUGAUUGGGUCAUAGUUUUUUGUUUUUUUUCAGAACUUCUGUGAGAGUAAUGACUUUUAAUAAACACUUUUACCAUGAACUUCAGGGCCUGCACCAGGGUCUCAGCAAGAUUGUGGAUCUUUUAUAUGGUGUCCUGUGUCCCAGUGCUUUUACAGCUCACCAACAAAGCUCCUGUCUUCUCACACUCUGUAGAGGGCCUCCACCUUACACAGUGUACCUGUAGUUCUCAGGCCAGUCUCAAGAUUUGAAUGUGACUCUGGGCAAUCCAUAAAAUUUCAGGCAUGUUCAGAUGCUUUCCAUAAAUUUGUGUGACUCAAAGUCAUUUAAAAGUGUCUCUUGUCAUUGAGAACCUUUACUCAGUUCUAAUUGGUAUCCUAAUUGGCUUUUCCCAGUGUGUCACUGGAAUUAAGUGCAUUUGCAGGCCAUCAAGGAGUCUCAUUGAGUCUGGCAGUGAUUCAGUGGAUUGUAGGUUUUUGCCCAGGAUCUCAGUGGGUUUCAUGGUCUCCUCCAGUGUCAGAGUCAUGAUUAGCACAUUCCUCCAGAGUCUAAGUGUUCUCUUUCUUUUCCUUAUGCAUCCAGAUCAGCUCUUGGACAUUCUCCAGAUCUCAGUGUGAUUCAAAAUGUUCCCAGUUAGUCAAAGUAACAAAGGCCUUGCCAGUUCCUGGGGAACUCAUGGCCAUUACCAGGCUCUCAGAUUUUCCUCAAUACCUUACAGUGUCUAAGUCAUGUUCACUGGUAUUCCAAAAGUGUCACCAUGGCUUCUAUUAUUCCUUAAAGACACACUAUUCUAGAGUUUCUGCUCAGGUCUCAGAAAAAUCUCAGCAACUUUUCCAAUUUGUCAGUAAAGUUUAUUGCCAUUCUCAGGGUCACAGUGUUCCUCAGGUUCAGCCUUGAGUCUUACUGAGACUCCUGGCAUUCCCCAGAGUCACAGUGGUGCCCAGGGCCUUCUUCAGUCUCAGUGCUGCCAUGUUUUUCUCAGGCACUACAGUGACACUAUACUGUUCCCAGGUUACACUGAUGAUCAGGGCCUAUUUUGGUGUCUCAGUAACCAUCUUGGUAUCAGAGGAGUUGGGUGUCUUUUCCAUGUCAGUGUUCCUCAGGGCCUACUCUAGAAUCUCAGAAGGGCUUAAUGCCUUGCCCAGAAUUUCAAUCUUGUUUAGAAAGUUUCACAUUGUCUUCAUGGUGCUUGGGAUAUUGCCUAGUUUUUAGAACAUGCUAAAGGCUUCAAUAAAAGAAUCUCAAAUUUGUUAAUUGUAUUUACUAUUGUCUCAGUGGUGUUCAAAAUAUCCAUCAGAUUUUUAAGAAGGCAAAGGGCCCUCCUUACAUUGGCAGGUGUUUGCACAACUUUCCCAAGACUUAGUAUUUUCAUUGCCUUCUCAGAUCUCAGUGCAGAUCAGCUCCAUCCAAAAUUUUACCAUUUUCUCAGGGCCUUCCCAGGGCCUCGAUAAGUGACAUUUCCUUUUAUAGGGGAAUACUUGGUUUCAGAGCUAACCUCAGGGUCUCCUGUUGUUUAAGAAUCCCAGUGCUAUUCUCAGAGUCUCAGUGAUGCAAAUGCUUAGUCAAGCUUCAUUGUGAUGCUCUAAAUCUUCCCAAUAAAAAUACAGUUUUCAUGGCUGUUUAAUUUUCAGGAAAAUUUUUAGGAUUUCAGCAUGACUCACAACUGUACAUAGAAUUUCAGGGGUGUUCCAUGAGUUUGUGUGAUUCAAAGGCCUUUAAAAAAGUCUAUUGGCAUUCAUGGUUUUUGUUAGUGUCUCAGUAAAUCUCAGCACUUUCCCCAGGUUCUCAGUGGAGUUCAUUGCCAUUCUCUGGGUCACAGUGUUGCUCAGGUCCUGCCCAGAGUCUUUGUCCCAGGGCAUUCCCCAGGAUUACAGUGAUCUCCAGGUCCUUUUGCAGAGUAUUUGUCAUGUCAUUUCCUUCCUAGGCAUUCAGUGAUGCUGUAGUUUUCCCAGGAAACACUGAUUAUCACUGCCUAUGCCAAAUUCUCAGUGACAGGAAGGGUAUCCAAGGGACUCAGCAUCUUUCCCAGGGUCAGUGGGCCUCAGAGCCUACCCUAGAGUCUUGUAGCUGGGUUGAUGUUAUACACAGAUGGAGGUAAGCAAAGUGGGUAGUAUCUGUUUUUAUUAAAUUGAUAAAUUCCUGGACCUCUGAUGGAAGGUAACACACAGAUGCAUCUGUGAGAUCCUUUUAUACUUUAUUUUCAGUUGCUGUAGAAGCUCAUAGAUAUUUUCAUUAAAACACUUGCUCACUAAUGAAGCUGUUUUCCUGUUUUCCCAACAGACUUGUGCCAUUGUCAAUAACUGUUCUUACUGGAUGCCCUUCUGAGACCCCAUGUGGGAAUCUGUAAAUCCAUGGGGCCUAUAGUCUAAUGCACUUUGGGAAAUGGAUAAUGUUCAUUUCCUUUCCAUCUCACUUUUAUCCUUUUUCCUUUCUCCAUGUUUCCAUUAGGACUCAUUCUGGGUUCAUUAGGGCUAGUGCCCAUGGGUCUGAAAAGGUACCUGCUUGCAUUUCUAAUUUUUUACUCUGCUUUGUCACUAUGGACAAAUAAAUUUUAAAAUAUAUCAAUAUAUGCACUUUCAUAUAUGUCCUAUGCUUUUGCAUAAUUUUGUACUCAUUGGAUUGACUGUCACAGCUUACAAAAAAGUAUGAAAUUAGCCUUUGCUAUGGUGAAAAAUAUGAAUUAUAACUCUAUGGAAAUCAAUAUGUUAAAUGAAGAAAAAAAAUCAUUAAGUCAUUCUUCACAAUUGGGCUGAAAUUGAUUAUUUAUUAUUAUUACAUCAUAAAGGCUGUAAUGACCUUAACAAUAUGUGUUACUUUAAUAUAAGGGACAAUAGUAACUCCAUUUCAAAAGAGUUAGAUUACCUUGUAGACAUCAUUAAAAAGAUCCAAUAGGGUUAUGGAAGUUUAGAUAUAUUGGAUUGGUUAACUGUGUGGUUAACCAAUCUUACUUGGAUUAAACAACUAGUCAUAGGUGAGUAUUACAUAGGUGAGUGUAAUACUGGGAUUGUUCUUUUGUUUUUGUUGUUGUUGAAGCCUACCCUAUUUUUUACCUCCACCAAUAUUAAAAAACAAAACAAAAAAUAAACCCCAAAUGUUAUCCCUCCAAAAGGCCACACAAAACAAAAAAAGGAGGAGCUGUAAGGCUCUGACUGUGGAAAUGUAUUUAACAGCAAGUGUCUCUGGUGAGCAAACUCCUGGAGAACAAGAGGUGUCCUGUUUCCCACAGCUGGAACAUUCUGCAGUUUCUCCCAGACACUAUUACUAAAACUAAUGCAUGCUCAACCAGAACACCUAAUGUACUAAUGGUGCAGUGAGCUAAUGUAACCUAUCAGUAUAAAUAAAGACAGCUGCUUAGACAAGCAGCCAUUUUGCCUCUGCAUCUUGCUUUCUUCUCUUUUUGUUUCCUUACAGUCUCAGGACAGUCGCAGUUCAUAGAUUCACAGGUUCUUCAAUGUUUUACUGGUUUGUUUGCCUUCUCACACAGUCAUUGGCGCUUAGCAACAUUGACACAUUCACAGUCAUGCAGAAUGCCUGCCUCUGACCCUUCAUGAUGUCAAGGAUUUUCUUCAAGGUAUCUAUAUCUUUGGUAUUUUCUCAACAUGAGUAAAUCUCAUGGUCAACUCUAGCAUCUAAGAUCAGGGCCUACCCAGCAGCUCAAGAGGACCCAAGGACUUAACCAGAAUUUCAAUCAUGUUUAGAAAGGUCCUCAUGGUCUCCAUGGUGCUCAGAUUAUUGCCCAGGUUUUAGAAUAGGCUAAAGUCCUACAAAAUCUCAGAGGGGUUAAGUUCAUUUACUGUUGACUCAAUAGUGUUCAAAAUCUACUCAGAGUAGUAGGGGGCUCAGGGUCUUCCUUAGGUUGACAGAUGUAUGCAUGGCCUUCCCCAAAAUCUCAGUGUCUCAUUGCCUUUCCAGAUUCUCAGUGAAGCACAGCAUAUUCCCAAGGUCUGUAAGAUCUCUGGGCCUUCCUGAAGGUUCUCAAUAGGUGCCAUUGGUUUCUCUAGGGGCUCGCUGAGUUUGAGAACCAUUCUCAGAAUCCCCUUCUCUUUAAGGGUCUUUUACACCUUCUCUAUGAGGCUCAGUGCUAUUCUUGGGAUCUCAGUGAUGCUCACUGCUUCUCCCAGCCUCAGAGAUAGUCUCUGAAUCUUUCCCAAGCAAAUAGUAGGUUCAGGAUCUUUCAGAGUUUCUCAUUGAAUCCCAGGGAUUUGCCCAGGGUCUCUGUGGAGCUGAGUGCCAUUUCCAGCAUCACAGUUGUGCUCAGCUGUUCUCCAGGAUUUGAUUUUAUGUCAGGACUUUCCCAAGAGUAGCAGUGAGAACUAGGGUUUUCCUUUCUAUUUCAGCAGGUUUAAGGACUCUUCAAAAUAUCUAGUUGUGCUUAGAUUCUUCUACAGUAUUCUAGAUAACUAAUGGCUUUCAUUAAUGACUCAAUGGGGAUUAGUGUCUUGCCAGUGUGUCAUUGAACUUAUGGGACAUUCCCAUUGUCACAGUGGUGGUCAGGACCUUCCACAUUGUGUCCUUUGUCCUCAGAGCCACCACAGGUUUCUGAGAAUAAGCUCAGGGCUGUCUCCAUGUGCUUUGAACUCUGAAGUAUUCUGCAUCAGGGUUAUUUAGGCCCUUGUCUGUCAGGUCUGUCUGCUGGAGAACACUUCACCCAUGACAUCAGUGAAGUUGUAAUAGGUUGUCCUUUUCUGAUAGGCAGCAGAAUUGCUGGGUUUAGAGCCUAUACAACUUCAAUGUGGAUUUGUGGAUUUUCACAGAACAUGCCCUGGUAUUUGACCAUUCUUUCAUUAUCAAGCCAAUAUUAUCCUUUGAACUUUUAUAAUGUCAAAAUUAAUGAGGAACACAGAUACCUAAUUCUUGUUUCAUAGCUUCCAACACCAGAAGGGCCAUGAUUGAAAGGGCCCAUAAGCAAGGAGGCCAGCCUUGGGCUACAUACAGAUUCCAGCUGUUUAGAUAGAUAGGCCACUGGAUGUGCCAUGUUCCCAACAUUUCAGAAAGACUCGUACAGCUAUUCCAUUUCAUUCAUAGACAUACAGGAAGAAGACUUUGUGAGAUCAGGGAGUCCUAGUUCAGGUGCAUUGGUGAGUGCUUCUUAAGUGUCUCAAAGGCCUUUUGUUUUGUUGGUCCACCAAAUAGCAGAUUCUGUUUUUUCCUUUGUGUGCCUUCAUAGAGAGGUUUUGCCUUAACUGAAAAGUUGGGGAUCCAUACACAGCCUAAUUAAACAGCACCAAAGAUCUCUGAUUUGGCAGCAGGUUGAAGGGACUGGAAUUGAGCAGGUCACCUGUUUCCUCUUGUAGCCUAGUUGCAAGUGACUCUGAGUCAAACAGAAACCAAGGUAUUUGACUUUUUCUUGACAGAUCUGGGCUUUCUUUUUUGAAACUUUGCAAUGAGCCUUAAGUAGAAGAGUGAGAAGCCGCUGUGUUCCUUUUAUGCCAUCUUCUCUGGUUGUUAUCCCAGUAUUUCAAUUUAGCAGGCCAUGUAGUAGUCAUGGACUGCUAAGUUGAAAUGCUGGGAUAAGGGGAAAGGAUGAUGAGUUUGUUUCCUGGGGCCAUCUUAAUUGUGGUUUCUUCCUUUGAAAGUGGGCCCACAGUUUGGGUCACAACCAAAUGGUGAGCCCCAGUGUCCACCAUAAAUUUUAAAGGUUGGUCCCCUAUAAGUGUUGGGACCAUAGGUUUCUGGGUGCCCAAAGAGAUGGAGCCCAGUCAGUCCUAGUCCUCAUCAUAAUUUUCCAAGUCUUCGAAUCCCACAAACUUUUCUCAUGAGCAUCAUAGGGGUGUCUUUGUCAUUGAGCAUCAUGAGGGACACAUUUGUAGGGCUGGUAUUAUCCAUGAAGGACUUGUCCUCACUUAUCCUGGUAAGGAGUAGUAAGAACCCAGUUGACUUUCUUCAGUGUGGGGCAUUCAUUUUUCCAGUGUCCCUCUGGCAGUGGGUGCAUUGGUUUAGUCUCAGCCUAGUCUCCAGGUGAGGAGGUUGGUCCAGACCAUCCUCCAGCCCUGCAUCUGGUUCUGAUUCUGAUAUUUGUUUUGGCUUUGUCCUGGUGGGAACCCCUUUGGGUGACUUCUGGGUCUGUAGUAAGGGCAGCUGCAAGGAAAAACCAUCUUCUUCAUCUUUCAGUCUGCUUCUUGCUGGGUCUCUUGGUCUUGAUUGACAAACACUGUGGUGGCCACUUCAAACAGCUCACUGGCAUUAUUCCCAGCAAAACUCUCUAGUGUUUUGUAGUUUUAGUGACUCUCACUCUUGGUCUGUCCCACAAUGGUUGUGUUGUCCAUCUGCUGGUUGUCUGGUGCCUCAGGAUCAAAGGGAGUAAAAAGUCAGAGGCUUCACAAGGUUGUUCAUAGAACUGGCUGGGGAUUUCAUGAGGAUUUUGGAGAACUUCUGACAUCUUGUUCAUGUUUAGAGCUCUCCUUCCCUUCUUUGAAGUCCUAUGAGGGGUUGGUGAUAUAUCUAUAUCUUUUGGAGGUCUGUGUCUUUUCUGGGGUCCCACCCUGAGUCUCUGUUGGGGAACUGGGCAUGGGCAUAAACUUGGAUGUUGCCUUGUGCAUCUGGGACAUAUUUCUCUAGCCAUUUUAAAGUACAUGGGUCACACAUUUGCCCACAUCUAUAUUGAAUAAAGUAAGAAGUAGCUGGCAGCAGUUCCCCCAGUGUUUCAGUCAGCUGGUGUGACUAAAAAAAUCUGACCAGAACGAUUUUUAAAAAGGAAAAGUUUAUUUGAGGGCUCACAGUUUCAGAUGUCCUAGUCCAUAGAAGGCUGAGUUCAUUCCUUGGGGCUCCAGUUGAGGCAGAACUUCAUGGCAGAAGAAUGUGGCAGAGGGACACAGCUCACAUAUUGAUCAGUAAGCAGAGAGAGAGAGAUUCCACUUGUGAGAUACAAAUACAUAUCUAAAACCACACCUCAAUUCCCACCCCCUCCAGCCACACCCUACCACUUUAGUUAUGACUCAGUUAAUCUGUAUUAGAUGAUUAAAUAAUUAAUUGGAUUCAGACUGUUACACCCAACUAUUUUCCUCUGAAUCUUCUUGCAUUAUCUAACAUGUGAGCUUUGGGGGGACACCUUACAUUCAAACCAUAUCAAGCAGGUAGAUUAGUGGGUCUGGAUAAUGAAUUGCAUCAUAUUAAUCAUGGUCUGAGUUUUCUCUGUGUAGCAGGUAGUAUGAUAUUUCCAAUUUUAGAGAUAAUUUAGGUGAAAGCCUGAUACUUAAAAAUGCUUUGGGCCCCUCAGAUGAUCUCCUCCUGGUCAACAUAGGCAGGCCUUCUAGUCUCCCAUAGGGGCAUCUAGAGAGCUCUAAGUUUGGUUGUGGCUCUGGUCUUAGGAUGGGUUCCCAUCUUGGUCUUGCAAGGUGGAGGAGGAAUCUUUUUCCUUGGGGAAGCCUCUGGCCUUAAGUACCUUAUAGAGGAGGAGGAGCUGGCCAUAUUCUGCAGUUUCUAGAAAUGAGGGAACCAAAGGUCCUGCACAUUCUCAAUGGUCUUGGCAAUAUUGGCUAGAGUGGCAUGUAAGGAGGUGGGUUCUCUUCUGACUCACUGGACAAAAUAGGUUCUUGUUCUGCAAUUGCUUUGUAAGUUUUUCUCUGUCUAGUUGCCUUUUGGGGGUGUCUUAGAGGCUGGUAUAAUCUGAGCUAACAUCAAUUUGGAUUGUCCAUCUAGACAGGCUCUCAACCAAGGAAGGUGUUUCUAGACUAUCUCUUUCCAGCAAUCAAGGGAACUAUUCUGGGUAUCCAGGGAUUCCAACAACUAUUAAAAAGACUUCAGCAAUGAGAGUUUUAAUUAAAGAUCCUCCUGGUGGCCACACCUAAUCUUAGCCAUUCUAAUUCACAGAGAGUACACAAAUUUGUUGAGUAAACUUCACUCCAUAGUCUCUCCUAAAACCUUUAUUAAGGUUUCACAACAGAUAUUCCAAGGGCUUUAAGGGAUUUAGUUACUUUGUGUGCCUCCCAUAUUCCACCCUGCAUCAGUGUCACAUACUUCUGACAAGAAUCACAUAGUCCAUCUCCAGCCUUUCUCCUCUUAGGACUUGGAGUCCUCUCAGCCUUGUCGGUCCAUGUCAACCCCCAACCUGGAACUUCCACCUAGAUGUUGGUUGGUGCAAUUCUGUCACAGACUGUAUGAGGUUCCAUGGAACCAUGAAUUGGAACUCAGCACUCACUUUGUACUCAGGCUGGGUCUGAAUUCUUCCCUUGUCCAUCUCAUUUACACUUUCACAUAGACUGGUGUUAUGGGCCAGCCUAUAUGAGCAAUGACCAAACAGACUCCAUUUUAUCCUGAGACUCCAUGUCAUGUAAGAAAUGCUUCUCCCAUGAGAAAAUUCUGCCUCUGCCAUCCUGAUCCUGCUUAGCACACCCUGCUUAGAAAUAUUUUUUUCCUGUUCUUAUAUAAUGUAAACUGGUUUUGGUUUCCAUUUUUUUUUGGACAGUGUACCCUGUCAGAGAAAUAUUUUCUAGAUGUUAGUAAUCAUUCUUUAACUGGUAAUCAAAGGGGGUCAUUUGACCUUCUUCCCCUUCUGCUUAUGAUUUUAGAUAUUAUGUUAUUUGUUUACUUUGAAUCAUAGCAAGAGCCUCUUAUGAUUAAUAUGGUUUGGGACUAUAGAGCUGUACUCUAACCCUUGGAGGUGGUCAAAGAGUGUAAACUUGCAAUCUUCACCUUAGCCUAUCAGCUGGUAAAUCCAGACUACCAGCUGUUGAAUAAAUAUCCCAUCUCCUGCUUAAGACAGACUCAGUGAUUUAUUGCAAUCUUGCCAUAACAGUGGCCAGAGCAAUAUUUUAAAACCCCAUAUUACACUAACAAAAAGGGAGUCACGGUUUCCCCUAUGCUUGUUGACCCCUGGAUCCUUUUUGGCUCCAAAUCCUUUUGGAGGUUAUUCAGGAUGCUCAAAUGUUGACCAAGCCUCUCUUCCACCUACGUGGGCCUCUUGGUUGAAGUCAGAUGGGAUACAACUGAAGAAUUUGGGACCCUACCUGUUUGGUCAGGUGGUGCUCCAUGUUCCCUAUUCCUGGAUCCUUCUCCUCAUGGGUUCUGUUGUGGUUCAAAGUGGCAGCUCUGAGAUGUCAGGUGAGUCAUUCCUCCUUCAGUAGAGUUGCCUCUGUGGUGUGCUAAGGGGAAGCAAUGUCCUCCAACAUCCCAGACUCCAGAGACAAGAGAGGCAACUUCACCAUUUCCAUCCCAUGUGGAUUGCCAAAUGAUGCAGGACAGAUGAGGCUACACACCUGAGGAAUUGGCAGAAUGAAGGUUUAUUGGCAACAGCUGUUCAAAGUGUGGCUAUAUCCUAAAAUUUCCUCCACUGAACCAUUAGUCUAGAAACUCUUUGAACUUUAUACCCACUGGGAGGAGGGGCUUGGAUUUCUACUUUUGCUGGAGUCUACCUAAAAGUAUCUUAUUUCUUUGAGUUCAUAGAGAGUACUUUUUUCUAACUCUUCUUCUUCUUUUUUUUUUUUUUUUUUAGAGUGGUCUGAGG